rnacentral:rRNA from 1 species
UAGGGAAUAUUCCACAAUGAGCGAAAGCUUGAUGGAGCGACACAGCGUGCACAACGAAGGUCUUAUGGAUUGUAAGGUGCUGUUGCAAGGGAAGAAAAAGUAGUUGAGGAAAUGCUUCUACAUUGACGGUACCUUGUUAGAAAGCGAUGGCUAACUAUGUGCCAGCAGCCGCGGUAAUACAUAGGUCGCAAGCGUUAUCCGGAAUUAUUGGGCGUAAAGCGUUCGUAGGCUGUUUAUUAAGUCUGGAGUCAAAUCCCAGGGCUCAACCCUGGCUCGCUUUGGAUACUGGUAAACUAGAGUUGGAUAGAGGUAAGCGGAAUUCCAUGUGAAGCGGUGAAAUGCGUAGAUAUAUGGAAGAACACCAAAGGCGAAGGCAGCUUACUGGGUUUAUACUGACGCUGAGGAACGAAAGCGUGGGGAGCAAACAGGAUUAGAUACCCUGGUAGUCCACGCCGUAACGAUGAUCAUUAGUCGGCAGAGAACUGUUGACGCAGCUAACGCAUUAAAUGAUCCGCCUGAGUAGUAUGCUCGCAAGAGUA